GGCUCUUCCAAGCAUUUUUUAUUAUGGAAUUCCUUCUUUUUUUUUCUUUUGGCAUUUGGGAAUAAAUUGCAUGUUUUAGAUAAUUGCAGGAAGAGUAGAUUAGCUUUCAGCUUCGGAUUUUAAGAUUGUAAGAACUGAAGACGUUAGAAAUAACCACUGCAUAUUGCAUGAAGUUGACACAUUUUGAAUAGAACUUUUAUCAGUAAUGAGCAAAUUUCCAGGUGUGCUCAUUCAGGUGUAUGAAGAGAAAGGAUAAUGACCGAGGACAACAACCUUCUUGGAAGAGUAAUUUGAGAAAAGAUGACAAUAGAACAGAGGGAGAAAACAGAGAACAGUGUAUUAUAGUGAAUUGUUGGCUAGAGUUGAUACACUUGUGGAAAUUAAAGGGAAUAAGAGGUAUAUUACACUGCUGAAAGGGAAUCAAUACUACUGCUACCACUUAAGUAUAGGAGUAAAGCUGUUCUUCACUUCCUCUUAUAGGAAAUGUAAUAUGUAAAGUGAAGCAGCAUCAAGAGGACACUUAAGAAAUUACCAAAAUUCAUUUUACGUUAGCAUUUCUAUUUGAGUAGAGCCAUUCUGCUGGUCGCAUUCAGUGGAGCAUUUCCCAUUUUGGACAAGCUAAUGCCAAGGGAUUAAUUACUUGAGCAUUUGGUGUAUUAUGUCUAUAAUAAUAAGUAGUAGUUAUAUUUUUGGUGUAUUACGUCUACAAUAACAAUGCUUCGCAAAUGGUUUAACUAAACAGUACUUGUGUUUGUUGUACGUAUUGUGAAUAUAUAUAGUAGUAUUCUAUUAAGCUUGUAUUGCAGUAAUCUUGUGCUCAAUUAACUUAGAUGCUAUUAAACGUUGGUGUUUGCUGCUUUAUUCUGUGAUCAUAUCGAAAUGUUGCAGGAAACAUUAAGUAUUCUCAUUGAUCAAUGUCACCAAUAGGUUAUCAAAAUGCCAGGGACUUGUGAGAAAUUACACAUUCGUCCUCUUUA